rnacentral:rRNA from 1 species
GACAGAGGGGGCAAGCGUUGCUCGGAAUCACUGGGCGUAAAGGGCGCGUAGGCGGGAUGGCAAGUCGGUCGUGAAAUCCUUCGGCUCAACCGAAGAACGUCGGCCGAUACUGCCGUUCUUGAGGGAUGCAGAGGAGACUGGAAUUCCCGGUGUAGCGGUGAAAUGCGUAGAGAUCGGAAAGAACACCAACGGCGAAAGCACUCUGCUGGGCCGACACUGACACUGAGAGACGAAAGCUAGGGGAGCGAACGGG